ensembl:lncRNA
CGCCGAAUCAGCCCGCGCCCCGGAAACAAUCUACUGGACCCUUCACCCCGCGCUCCUCUGUACAGCCACCUGGUUCCACACUACAAAGACGCAGAGGACCCCAGACCACCAGACCAAGUCUUUUGCUAGGGAUCUUCAUGGACAGAACCCAGUCAGAAGUCUGAGAGUGAGCAGUUCAGAAGCAGUUAAAAUCCGAAAUGUCCAGGAAGCAUCUUGACAGCUAAAUAAUAAAAGCCACAAUUGUGUCCUCUGGUAGAAGCACUGUUCUCCAAAACCUACAAUUCCAC